ACUCCUGCGGGAGGCAGCAGUGGGGAAUUUUGGACAAUGGGCGAAAGCCUGAUCCAGCAAUGCCGCGUGAGUGAAGAAGGCCUUCGGGUUGUAAAGCUCUUUUGUCAGGGAAGAAACGGUGAGAGCUAAUAUCUCUUGCUAAUGACGGUACCUGAAGAAUAAGCACCGGCUAACUACGUGCCAGCAGCCGCGGUAAUACGUAGGGUGCAAGCGUUAAUCGGAAUUACUGGGCGUAAAGCGUGCGCAGGCGGUUUUGUAAGUCUGAUGUGAAAUCCCCGGGCUCAACCUGGGAAUUGCAUUGGAGACUGCAAGGCUAGAAUCUGGCAGAGGGGGGUAGAAUUCCACGUGUAGCAGUGAAAUGCGUAGAUAUGUGGAGGAACACCGAUGGCGAAGGCAGCCCCCUGGGUCAAGAUUGACGCUCAUGCACGAAAGCGUGGGGAGCAAACAGGAUUAGAAACCCCAGUAGUCCCAUG
rnacentral:rRNA from 1 species